rnacentral:misc_RNA from 1 species
UCCGAGUUGUCCCCGGCAGUCCUUUUAGAGUCCCCGGCAUUACCCGCUGGCAACUAAAAGCAGGGGUUGCGCUCGUUGCGGCACUUAAGCCAACACCUCACGGCACGAGCUGACGACAGCCAUGCAGCACCUGUGCUAGCCCCUUACGGACACGGGCUUUCACCCGCUUUAACUAGCAUACAUCGUUUACAGCGUGGACUAC